UGGGGAAUAUUGCACAAUGGGGGAAACCCUGAUGCAGCGACGCCGCGUGAGCGAAGAAGGUUUUCGAAUCGUAAAGCUCUGUCCUAUGAGAAGAUAAUGACGGUAUCAUAGGAGGAAGCCCCGGCUAAAUACGUGCCAGCAGCCGCGGUAAUACGUAUGGGGCGAGCGUUGUCCGGAAUUAUUGGGCGUAAAGGGUACGUAGGCGGUCUAUUAAGUCAGGUGUGAAAGCGUGAGGCUUAACCUCAUUAAGCACUUGAAACUGAUAGACUUGAGUGAAGGAGAGGAAAGUGGAAUUCCUAGUGUAGCGGUGAAAUGCGUAGAUAUUAGGAGGAAUACCGGUGGCGAAGGCGACUUGCUGGGCACAAUCUGACGCUGAGGAACGAAAGCGUGGGGAGCAAACAGG
rnacentral:rRNA from 1 species